rnacentral:snoRNA from 1 species
GGAAGCCUGUCAGACAGCCAUACGACCAUCUCAGCCAGCUUGCUGACCGAGAACGAUCCCCUACAGCUUAGGGAUUCUACGGAACCAUCAAGCCAUUAAUCACGCUCUGAUCGCAUGGCAUCUUAUUCAUCCACGAGACUUGAGUUCCUGUCUCCUUAGUGCUUAAGGAUACAGAGGUACGAGCCUACAGCACAGAUCCUGUUC